AAAGUUAGAGGUUCGAAGGCGAUCAGAUACCGCCCUAGUUCUAACCAUAAACGAUGCCAGCCAGCGAUCCGGCUGUGUUCCUCAAAUGACACGCCGGGCAGCUUCCGGGAAACCAAAGCUUUUGGGUUCCGGGGGAAGUAUGGUUGCAAAGCUGAAACUUAAAGGAAUUGACGGAAGGGCACCACCAGGAUUGGAGCCUGCGGCUUAAUUUGACUCAACACGGGACAACUUACCAGGUCCGGACAUAGGAAGGAUUGACAGAUUAAGAGCUCUUUCUUGAUUCUAUGGGGUGUGGUGCAUGGCCGUUCUUAGUUGGUGGUGCGAAUUGUCUGGUUAAUUCCGAUAACGAACGAGACUCUAGCCUACUAAAUAGACGCUCCGAUCAUCUACGUCGGACGUUCUUCUUAGAGGGACAAGCGGCGUUUAGCCGCACGAGACAGAGCAAUAACAGGUCUGUGAUGCCCUUAGAUGUCCUGGGCCGCACGCGCGCUACAUUGAAGGAAUCAACGUGUGCUUUCCCGGUCCGACAGGACUGGGUAACCCGUUGAACCUCCUUCGUGCUGGGGAUAGGGGCUUGUAAUUGUUCCCCUUGAACGAGGAAUUCCCAGUAAGCAUGAGUCACUAACUCGUGUUGAUUACGUCCCUGCCCUUUGUACACACCGCCCGUCGCUACUACCGAUUGAAUGAUUUAGUGAGGUCUUCGGACUGGCGCUCGGAGCGGCCUUCGGGUCGCGCCGGUGCGUCGGAAAGAUGACCAAACUUGAUCAUU
rnacentral:rRNA from 1 species